rnacentral:rRNA from 1 species
ACCCGGGGAGGGUCAUUUGGAAAACUGGGGAAACUUUGAGUGCAGAAAGAGGAGAGUUGGAAAUUCCACGUGUAGCGGUGAAAUUGCGUAGAGAUGUGGAGGAACACCAGUGGCGAAGGCGACUCUCUGGUCUGUAACUGACGCUGAGGAGCGAAAGCGUGGGGAGCGAACAGGAUUAGAUACCCUGGUAGUCCACGCCGUAAACGAUGAGUGCUAAGUGUUAGGGGGUUUCCGCCCCUUAGUGCUGCAGCUAACGCAUUAAGCACUCCGCCUGGGGAGUACGGUCGCAAGACUGAAACUCAAAGGAAUUGACGGGGGCCCGCACAAGCGGUGGAGCAUGUGGUUUAAUUCGAAGCAACGCGAAGAACCUUACCAGGUCUUGACAUCCUCUGACAAUCCUAGAGAUAGGACGUCCCCUUCGGGGGCAGAGUGACAGGUGGUGCAUGGUUGUCGUCAGCUCGUGUCGUGAGAUGUUGGGUUAAGUCCCGCAACGAGCGCAACCCUUGAUCUUAGUUGCCAGCAUUCAGUUGGGCACUCUAAGGUGACUGCCGGUGACAAACCGGAGGAAGGUGGGGAUGACGUCAAAUCAUCAUGCCCCUUAUGACCUGGGCUACACACGUGCUACAAUGGAC